rnacentral:lncRNA from 1 species
GCUUAGAAACUUGUACACUCAAGGCACUUCAUUUGCAACAAAUAACGUGAACUAAAUUCAAACCAGAACUGACCAUGGUUAGAAGGGAAUCAUUACUUUUUCAAAAUACUCAAUUGGUACUGAGAUCAAUUCUGUUAUCGUGCCCACCCCUACUUGUUCGAAUAGAAGUGCUUUGUCGGAUUAAAAAAGAAAAAUAAAAAGAAAAAAUAAACUUAUAGAGGACGACUUUUUCAAGAAACUCAACUAUCUCAAAACAGGCUCUAAUACUCAAAGGUCGCAUGAGGAAGCCCCUGUUAAUGCGAGCACCUUCUGUGUUGUGCUUUGAUAGGGCCAAGCGAGAUACAUGAAGAAAAAGCUUCAAAAUUUGCCUUCAUCCCAUGCUUCCACCAUUUUUUUCAUGAUUCUCAGAAAUUUUCAAUUCGGCUAGUCAUUGAUUAAUCUGCCAAAUCGGAAAAAUUGGACUAUGGAACAAGUAGAUAACCAUCCCAAGAAGGUAGGAAAAUAGCCCUAGU